rnacentral:rRNA from 1 species
UACAGAGGGUGCUAGCGUUGUUCGGAAUCCUUGGGCGUAAAGGGCGUGUAGGCGGUUUGUUAAGUCAUGUGUGAAAUCCCUCGGCUCAACCGGGGAACGACGCAUGAAACUGGCAAGCUAGAGUACCAAAGAGGGGGGUGGAAUUCCCGGUGUAGAGGUGAAAUUCGUAGAUAUUGGGAAGAACACCGGUGGCGAAGGCGGCGACCUGGUCCGAUACUGACGCUGAGGCGCGAAAGCGUGGGGAGCAAACGGG